UUGAAUAAAUCUGGCGUGGUUGUAGCUGGCUCUCCGGAGCAAGUGCUCGCCCGUCACCUUUAUCUUUCCACCUGUGCACACACUGUAGUCCUGGAUACCUCUCGUCGCAAGGCGGAUACGGGGAUUGCUGUUUUCCUCCUAGAGGAAUCGGCUCUCCCUGAAUUUCCAGGGCUAUGAUUUUACACACCCCAAUUGUAUGUUAAAGAAAGUCAUCACUAGGCUUCGUGCCUAUAAACCUAU
rnacentral:misc_RNA from 1 species